CACACAGACGUUUUAUUAAGUAACGGCAACAGAAAAGUCUUUAGCUAAUACAAUAGUGAGGAAAAGCAGCACAGAACGAUGAAAAAACAAUUUGUUUCCUGUGCCGAGGCCCUCUUUGCACAAUAGUAAGCUGCACAAUUUGCUUCUCGGCUCACAAAGACAAAAGACUGAAAUACAAGCCCCUGCACAACAGAAAGGUCAGCAUAGUGAUUUAGUGACAGCAUUAAACAACAUACAAAGGAUUCUACCUCUGUUGGCCCAUAAGGACAUAGGGCCCAUAUUAGCCUGAAUAGCGAGAUGAAAGCCCAAACUUAACUAUGUGAAUUAUGCAAAAUAACGGUUGCCACAAAACUACAUCCAAACUUUCAUGAGAUUCAUGUAAUCUAAACCGGUGCUAAACUUUUCUUUUUGCGAAAGGGAAAUGUAUUAAACAUAAAGCACAGUACAUCCCUGGGUCCACCUCUGAACUCCCGGCCGCCAGCAAAGAUCGUCGGAACCAGGCAAGGUCCAUCUUCUUCCUCCAUGAGCAACUUCAAAGCUUUGAACUGCCGCAGUAGCCAGCGCCUGGAUCCACCACCAGCACGCAUCGUGGACGAUGAACGAGAAUCGCCCAUCGCAACAUGAAGAGAAGAAGAAGAUAAGGAGUCCGCCGCCGCCAGCACCAACACCGGCGACCGGACAACAGGUCCAUCGCUGCUAGCAAAGCCAACAACGCAGACAAAGAGCGCACCUCCAGGGGCACCGAAAGAUUCCACCUUUUCACAAAAAAAGAUGGAAACAUAACCUCACUCCGCUGCCGCCAGCGAAGACAGGGAAGCCGCCGGAGAUGUCGAAGAAGCCCACGCCGAAGCUCAGCCCGAAGCCGUCCUCGUCACCUCCGCGUCAUCGCUCGCUGAAGACCAAGCAUCGCAGGGUAUGUACACCGCCGCCCAAUCCGCAGGUCCCCACAUCCUCCGACACCGACGAGGCCGCCGAAGGCGGGGAGGACCCGGCGGAUUCAGCGCCGGAACAAAGAUCGCCCUCGGCUCACCCUUUUUUACUGUAGAGAGGGGAAAGCAGAGGAAACCAGAAGGUAAACCGGUGCUAAAUUUCUUUCAUCAUAACAUAAGUUUGUAUACAUCACUUGAGAUUCUACACACUACAAAUUCUUAAGUUCCAAAUGGGUCCAUUUAGGUUUGUCCCAAGUCAAAUGUUUUUAACUGUGACCAUCAGUACCUUAAAUUUAUAUAGAUAAACAACCCAAUAUGUAUGUAUUAUGAAAAUAUUAUUCAUAAUGAAUCUAGUCAUAUCAAUCUCAUGUUGUCAAUCUAUAUAAAUUUUAGAUAAUGGUGACUUAGGGCAAACCUGGAUGAACUUAUAUUUUUGCUAGGAUAAAGUAUACAAAAUUUUGCAAAUUAAGUUUAAUAAUAUUUGUAUUUUUUAAAUAUGCAUGUUCUGUUGGAGAAAAAAAAAUAUGCAUGUUCAACAUAUCAAGGUGGUCUUUUGUCCAGAAAAAUACAAUAGAUCAGAACAGCUAAAGCUUUUAAAGAAAUUUCUUAUUUUUAUUUUGAUCAAGGAAAUUGGCCUCUAGUUAAGAUUCACAUGGAAUGACUCGUUCCACAGUAUUCCAUUGAUUUCUAACAUGAAGUUCUACCUCUUGGGAUAUUCCUUUAAAUUAGUGCAUAUUUUUUCAUCUAAAUGUACAUUCCCUUAACUUGUGCUACUAUAUGGCUAGCAAUUUUACGAGACAUAAUUAUUAGAAGUUUGUGGAUAAAUUUAGGGCCCAUGAUUAAUCAGAAUUACUUAUAUUUGAUCUCUCCCUUUGUUUAUUUUCUAACACAAUAAUGUACAUAUAAAUACUAUGUGAUCUUUUUCUAGUUGUGAUAGACUUCAAUUACCAAUUAUUAUAUAUAUGCUUUUCCAUUCCCUUUCA